UUUAAUUAGGAAAGACAGUCCCUCCGAGGUGUACCCGUCCAUUUGAGAUGGUCAAGUUGACAGUCAAGGAGGGCGGCCACACCCCUAAUAAGAGAGUAGGCCUGGGGAGUGUCUUCACUGCUCUUCCUCACAGACAUAAAGGUAAUCUUCCAAACUCAAGCUCAAGUAGUUUAUCACACAUCAGAUUCCAUGAGAAUGAGGAUCGUGCUACACUUGACGUGUUUGAUGUAAGCUGUGCUCUUUGCCAUAGUUUUAAUUUAAGGGAGUUCGAAUUUUUUUUCUUGACAAGAAAAAAAAUCAUUUCCAUCCUCUCAUAGAUCAAUAACUGUUUUUAUCUACUUUCUUCUACUACUUUUUUUUUUCCUUGAGACCUGCCACCUUGGCCUCACAUUUACAAAUGUGAGCUGCCGUGCACUGCUGUCAGCUUAACUCUUGUGUCUUGAAGUCAGACCAGCUUUCCUAUCAAAUCCACACAUCUGGAAGCCUUCUUGCUACUUGUUCGAUUUGAACAAAUUGUUUCACUUCUGGUGCCCAGCAAUAGCCUGAGGCCAUUCUGCUUGCUGCUGUUCUGAGGAACAACGCUUUCUUAGAUUCUGUCUUCGCCCGUUUAAACUUUCAUUUUCUGGGGCAUGUACUCACGUGGUUUUUAUUGAAAUAUCAAGCCCAUUCUCUCUGACUUGCAGACUGAUAACUUGGCCGGACUUGGAACUCUCUGUCCCAGAGCAGUUUCCAUUAGCUCUUUCAAGUCAUUGUUCCAUUGUAUGUCCACAUAAAGCUGGAAAUUCCAAAAGCCAGUGUGAUUCUCAUCCCUCUGCAAACGAGGUGUUUCUGUUUCCAGAAAGCUCUUUGACCGGAUGAGGAAAUUUUAUAACAGUGUACGAGAGCCAUGCUCUUCCUUUUAAUCUAGUUACAUAGCAAGCAGGCGUUCUCACGUUCUAGUGAAUGGUGCGUAGUGCUUAAGAUGUGAGGAGCACACAGAAGGAGCACAGUUGUUUCUCAAAGUUCCAAUCUCUAAGAACAAACCAACAGCCUACCCAAGGAAUGGAUGAAUCAUAGCCCGUGUGGAUGGUUUUCCGUUUUCCCUCUGGCUCUCCUGCGUGUGGCCUCAGACUAGAUUCCUGCCGUCACGCUGCAGGUUCUCACUAUCACCGAGGUUGAAGCUGCUGGUUCUGUGCCUUCCCUGCCAUGGAGGACUGAUCUUCAAACUGUGAGCCACGUAAGUCCUUUUUACCCUAAGGCACUUCUUGUCACGUGUCCUGUAGCAGCGAUGAGAAAAGUAGCUAUCUUCCUUGGUCCCUGCCACCUGUCAACUUCAUGGCCACUGCACUAUCCCUGACGGAGAUGUUUCUUUUUAAGGUUUUUGAUUACAUGUAUGUAUACGUCUGCGGGGGGCAGAUUUUGUGCUUGAGAGUGCAGGAAUGGGAGCAUGCACUCUGUUGUUCGGUGGCAUCAGUCCUCCCAGAACUGGAGUUAUAGGUAGUUGGGAGCCUGAUGUUGGUGCUGAAAAUGGAAGCAGUAUCAACCAUGAGCCAUCACUCCGAGCUCUAGUGAUAAAAAUGUUUAGCCGGGUCAAAGCCUACCUCUUCAAAUGUCUGCUCAAGUAGAUGUUGAUGUUUGUUAUUCCAUACCACUUGAGUAUGGUGGUUUAACUACUCUCUAAUACUCGAUCUUAGUCAGGGUUUUAUUGCUGUGACAAAACACCAUGACCAAAAAGCAAGCUGAGAAGGAAAAAGGUUAUUUGUCCUACACUUCCGGAUCAUCAUCUAUCAUUGGAGGAAGUCAGAACAGGAA
rnacentral:sRNA from 1 species